rnacentral:rRNA from 1 species
AUUGAACGCUGGCGGCAUGCCUUACACAUGCAAGUCGAACGGCAGCAUGGAGAGCUUGCUCUCUGAUGGCGAGUGGCGAACGGGUGAGUAAUGCAUCGGAACGUACCGUGUAAUGGGGGAUAACGUAGCGAAAGUUACGCUAAUACCGCAUACGACCUGAGGGUGAAAGCAGGGGAUCGCAAGACCUUGCGUUAUACGAGCGGCCGAUGUCAGAUUAGCUAGUUGGUGAGGUAAAGGCUCACCAAGGCGACGAUCUGUAGCGGGUCUGAGAGGAGGAUCCGCCACACGGGGACUGGGACACGGCCCAGACUCCUACGGGAGGCAGCAGUGGGGAAUUUUGGACAAUGGGGGCAACCCUGAUUCAGCCGUGCCGCGUGAGUGAAGAAGGCCUUCGGGUUGUAAAGCUCUUUCGGCCGGGAAGAAAUCGCACAGGCUAAUACUCUGUGUGGAUGACGGUACCGGCAUAAGAAGCACCGGCUAACUACGUGCCAGCCGCCGCCGUAA